rnacentral:rRNA from 1 species
AGAGUUUGAUCCUGGCUCAGGACGAACGCUGGCGGCGUGCUUAACACAUGCAAGUCGAACGAAAAGAGGGAAAGAGCUUGCUCUUUCCGGAAUUGAGUGGCAAACGGGUGAGUAACACGUAAACAACCUGCCUUCAGGAUGGGGACAACAGACGGAAACGACUGCUAAUACCGAAUAAGUUCCAAGAGCCGCAUGGCCCAUGGAAGAAAAGGUGGCCUCUACCUGUAAGCUAUCGCCUGAAGAGGGGUUUGCGUCUGAUUAGCUGGUUGGUGGGGUAACGGCCCACCAAGGCGACGAUCAGUAGCCGGUCUGAGAGGAUGAACGGCCACACUGGAACUGAGACACGGUCCAGACUCCUACGGGAGGCAGCAGUGGGGAAUCUUCCGCAAUGGGCGAAAGCCUGACGGAGCAACGCCGCGUGAGUGAUGACGGCCUUCGGGUUGUAAAACUCUGUGAUCCGGGACGAAAAGGCAGAGUGCGAAGAACAAACUGCAUUGACGGUACCGGAAAAGCAAGCCACGGCUAACUACGUGCCAGCAGCCGCGGUAAUACGUAGGUGGCAAGCGUUGUCCGGAAUUAUUGGGCGUAAAGCGCGCGCAGGCGGCUUCCCAAGUCCCUCUUAAAAGUGCGGGGCUUAACCCCGUGAUGGGAAGGAAACUGGGAAGCUGGAGUAUCGGAGAGGAAAGUGGAAUUCCUAGUGUAGCGGUGAAAUGCGUAGAGAUUAGGAAGAACACCGGUGGCGAAGGCGACUUUCUGGACGAAAACUGACGCUGAGGCGCGAAAGCGUGGGGAGCAAACAGGAUUAGAUACCCUGGUAGUCCACGCCGUAAAC